UACGUAGGGGGCAAGCGUUGUCCGGAUUUAUUGGGCGUAAAGAGCGUGUAGGCGGCCUUACAGGUCAGCUGUGAAAACUCGAGGCUCAACCUCGAGACGUCGGUUGAAACCGUAUGGCUAGAGUCCGGAAGAGGAGAGUGGAAUUCCCGGUGUAGCGGUGAAAUGCGCAGAUAUCGGGAAGAACACCCGUGGCGAAGGCGGCUCUCUGGGACGGUACUGACGCUGAGACGCGAAAAGC
rnacentral:rRNA from 1 species